rnacentral:lncRNA from 1 species
ACUGUAUUUACAUCAUUCAUUCUCUAUAAUUUUUUUAAAUUUUCUUUAAACCCUAACCUUCAGUUUGAGGCCAGAUUUGAAACCAGAACCUCCUAUCUCUGGGCCUGGCUCUCAAUCCACUGAGCCCCUUAGCUGCCCCCUAUACAUUUUCAUUAAAAUUAUCAUAUAUUCAAUACUAACAUAUUCCUAAAUCCACCGAAUGGAAACUGAAUAGGGUAGUUUCUAUGAUGGAUAAAAUUGUCAAAUCACAUGGCUUAUGAGGAGACAUUUUGGAUUUUUACACAUUGCUUGCAAAAACUUAAAUGUUUAAUUCUUUAUAUUUGUCUAAGAAAAUUUAAAUUGAUUUGUCUAAACUUUUAUAAUCAGUCAAGGCUCAUAACACAAUAGAUUUUAAUUCUCAGGUUCGGGAAGAUGACAAACAGACAUGAAAUGAUAGAUCUAUUCUCACUGAAGAUAAUAGUGGAACUCAGCCAACUCCUUUAUCUGCCUCUGACAAGAACUCAUUUGCCAUUCUUCCAUUUAGAUGCAAUUGCUUCUGGUUUCAUUUAUGGAUUCAAAAUAAACUCCUGUAGGUAUAUAUCAGUUUUCCACUCUUUGAUAGAGUAAAACACCAAAAACCAUGACAGAUGAUAAAGAAAAAAGGAAAGAGAGUCUCUCCAAUUUCUCUAAUCAAUUUGCCUGCAAGACCAUCUGUCUCAGAUUCUCACUUCCAAAACUACUAGGAGUUCAAAUUUUUUAAAACAGGUGGCAAAGGUAAGGGAGGACUUCAUUUUAUGUUGCAGCAGACGUGAUGUAGUGUUGCUUUUUAAAAAAUUAACUUUAUAGAUUUCCAGUGAUGGAGCCAAGAUGGAGGAAUAACUAAAAUACUAGUGCCAUUUCACCACAAAAAUCCUCUUCGACAAAGAGUGAAAUAUUGUCACAAAAUGAAUACAGGAAUAAAAGAACCAACAAUGAGACA